GAUUCAGCUCAAGAAGUUAAAGGAGGAGAAUCAAGCAAAGGCAAAGGAAAGGACAUCGAGUAGCCGAGUUAGAACCGUUUUACCCAACACAAGGUUCCUUUGAUUCAUUUUUGUGUGCUCGGGACCAUCGUCGAAGUCAUCACACCAGCUUGCAACUUUUUGGUAUCUUCUUCCUAGUUGGUCUAAGAGAACAUUUCGGCAUGUAUAGGCUAUUAUGUUUUUUUUGAACUUUGGUAUGUAAAACUUUGGAUAGCCAUGCGAAAAUGGCUUAUAUACGUUUUGAGCAUAAUGUUAUAGUCAUCUUGAAUGUAUAUGUUCA